AAAAUUAACAAGUGAGUGAUCAAAGACCACUGACGCAAGAGGCAUGAUGUAAAUAUUUGUGACAAUGAUAUCACGCACGAGGACCAAAUACAGUGUAUUU